rnacentral:rRNA from 1 species
GUAGGAGGCAAGCGUUAUCCGGAUUUACUGGGCGUAAAGCGCGUGCAGGCGGUUUGGUAAGUCGGACGUGAAAGCUCCCGGCUCAACUGGGAGAGGCCGUUCGAAACUGCCAGACUAGAGGGCAGCAGAGGGAGGUGGAAUUCCGGGUGUAGCGGUGAAAUGCGUAGAUAUCCGGAGGAACACCAGUGGCGAAGGCGGCCUCCUGGACUGCCCCUGACGCUAAGACGCGAAAGCUAGGGUAGCAAACGGGAUUAGAAACCCCGGGUAGUCCUAGCUGUAAACGAUGCACACUUGGUGUUGGUGGCAUAAAACCCCCAUCAGUGCCGCAGCUAACGCGAUAAGUGUGCCGCCUGGGGGACUACGGUCGCAAGGCUAA